AGUUCGUGAUGUGGGAAUUUCUGAAUUAAUGUUUUAAAACAUUCCCAAGCUUCAUGAAAACUUUCUCCUUCUAAUUGUUUGAACGUUGCAAUCUCCCUCCUUAGUU
rfam:Gossypium arboreum cultivar AKA8401 contig_10483_1, whole genome shotgun sequence.